rnacentral:rRNA from 1 species
AGCUCCAAUGGCGUAUAUUAAAGUUGUUGCGGUUAAAAAGCUCGUAGUUGGAAUUCUGCUGAGGAAGACCGGUCCGCCCUCCGGGUGAGUAUCUGGUUCAUCCUUGGUAUCUUCUUGGAGAAUGUAGUUGCACUUGGCUGUGUGGUGCGGUAUCCAAGACUUGUACUUUGAGGAAAUUAGAGUGUUUCAAGCAGGCUGAUGCCUUGUAUACGCGAGCAUGGCAUACUAGAAUAAGACCUUUGUUCUAUUUUGUUGGUUUCUAGAGCUGAGGUGAUGGUUAAUAGGGAUAGUUGGGGUGUAUAGUUGGGGGUGUUCGUACUUGAUUGUCAGAGGUGAAAUUCUUGGAUUUGUUAAUGACGGACAACUGCGAAAGCAUUCGCCAAGGAUGUUCUCA